CAGCAUGGCUGGGGAGGCCUCAGGAAACUUACAAUCAUGGCGGAAGGCAAAGGGAAAGCAAGGGACCUUCUCCACAAGGCAGCAAGGAGAGGUGCUGAGCAAUGGGAAGAGCCCCUUAUAAAGCCAUCAGAUCUCGUGAGAACUCACUAUCACGAGAACAGCAUGGGGAAAACCGCCCCCAUGAUUCAAUGACCUCCAUCUGGUCUCCCCCUUGACACGUGGGGAUUAUGGGGAUUACAAUUCCAGACGAGAUUUGGGUGGGGACACAAAACCUAACAGAUCACUUGCUUAAGGGAAGCUUUGUCUACUCUAAACCAGAUUGCAGAGGUCUUUUGUUUGUCCCCCUUGGGGUUUUCCACCAAGGGGCCCUGGGCCUUUGGGUUGAGCUGGGUGGGCCUUUCCCUGUACAGGCGGAGGAAGCAAGUGCAAGGUGAGCGGUGGGAGAACCUGCAAGGCCCCUGCUCCCAGGGGAAGGGGAGGCGGGCUUCAGGGGAGUGUCCAUAUGGGCGCCCAGAAACUGGAAACUGCGUCCCUGAAGGCUGCAAGCCCUCUGGGCAGUUCGGGUCACCCCGGCUGAAGAAGGGCGUUGAAGACACAUGGAAAAGGUGGUGGGAGAGGACUGAGUUGAAACCCAGGCCCCGAGUGGAAGAGCCUGCUGGAGGCCACAGGAGCCCGUUCCCCAACCUGAAGCCCUGGAGACGGCCCGGCUUGAGAGGGCGAGGGCCCACAGCGGGGACCCAACUCACUUCUUCGUUCCCACCUGCCCUGGGGUCCGACGGGAAGCGGGGACGGGGAGCGGGUGGGGUCCGACGGGAAGCGAGGACGGGGAGCGGGUGGGGUCAGACGGGAAGCGGGGACGGGGAGCGGGUGGGGUCAGACGGGAAGCGGCGACGGGAUGCUGGUGGGGGGACCCCCGCGCUCUCCGGGCGACCCUCUGCAGCCUCUACUCUGCCCCGUCUGUCAUCUUCUCCCGACCCGGCGACCCCGUUCUCCCCCUCGCCCCUCAUUCCCCGGGACUGUCCUUCUUAACAGCGCCCUUCACCCCGCCCGGCCCGCGAGGUAGUCCUCAGCAGGGGACAAGGUCCGGACGUGGCGCCCCCAGAAGGAGCGCGGAGAGCCCCUGGGACCCAGUCCCGCCAGGUACGCAUCAGGGGCGGAGCUGGACUCGGGGGGCGGGGCUGGGGAGAGGGUGGCCCCUGCACACUAGUCCCCUCCCCUCGACCCCGCAGCCCCGCGGCGCGUUUCCUGAGGCGCCCCCGCCACGUCCCGCGAGUCUCUGCCAAGUUCCCGCGCGGGUGCGCCCCGGUCGCGCCCUCCCUGCGCCCGCCCAGGCCUGGGGAGCUCUGUGGGUGGAAGCCGGCGCCCCCUGGGGGCACCCGGGCGUGGCGAGGGCCUCGGCGGUCGGGAGGCCUCUGCGGGGCAGCGGUCGGGAGCGAGGCCACGGGGCGCCAGGUACAGCCGGCGGGACGUCCAGUGCCAGCGCAGGAGCCGGGCGAGGCCGUGGCCUCCAGGGUUCCUGGGCGGAGGACAAGGCGCGCAGCCGCGUUGGCGCGAGUUUUAAAUCGGUGCCUUCUCAGCUUUGCAAGUUCUUAUCAAUUGCUGCAUGCCAGAGGAAGUUUUUAAAAAAUGGCCCCCAGCUCUAUUGCGGUGUAAUUGAUGGAUAGAAAUUGUAUUUAUUUAAGGUGAACAGCUGGAUGAUGUGAUGGAGGCACGCAGGGUGGAGGGGUUACCACAGUCUAGGUACUCUACACAUCCAGAGCCUCCCACAGUUGACAAAUGGAUUUUCCUAAUCAGUUUCGUCGUGUUUUGUACUUAAGUUGAGGAUUCCACACCGUGUGGUACUUUCAGAAGAGAUGUAGUGGUGAAUCAAUCGCAACGGUUGUGAUGUUUUCCUAAUUAGGUAUUGAGAAUUACCAUUGGUAUUUGGAAUUAGAUUGCGGAGCAUUUAGGAACCGUUCUCGCUAUGUUGCCCAGGCUGGUCUUGAACUCCUCAGCUGAAAUGAGCCUCCCACCUCGGCCUCCCAAAGUGCUGGGAUUACAGGCGUCCCCUCUGCCCCAGUACUGUUUCCUCUCCCCAGCCCAGCCCCCACAGCUGCCUGCCCUGGCCUCACUCCCUGGCCUCCCCCAUCCCAGCCUCUGGGUCCCUGAGUCAGUCCCUGGGGCUGUCUGCCUUCUAGGGGAGCCUCUGGUGUGGACCAGAAAGUAACCUAAUCCCUUCCAGGCCCACCCUGGAAACAAAGGGAUUUGUCCACUAGCCUGGUGGUGAGAACCAUGUGGCCUCCUGUCUCUGGCAGAGAGGACUCCAGGAUCAAGGGCAGGUAAAAGGAGGAGCCUCCUGGGGAGCUUCAGAAGGAGGGUCCCAAGUCCCUCCUGCCCCACUUCUGUGCCUGGGUCACUCACACCCCUGCCUGACUCUAGCCCCCCUUCUCCAGGGGUCUCCACAACAUGUGAAUCAUGCCCAGCGUCUUCCAUUACACCCUUGAUAAAGUCCUCUCCUCACCAGGACCUCUGUCAUUUUACCUCAUGGUUUUGAAAUAAUUUUUGGUCUUCUUAGCAGUUUAAAAAUAUUGUUUUGUUUUUUUUCCUGAGUUUGGAGCAUUCCUGUUACUAAUUACAUUUUUUUUUUAGACAGGUGUACACUACUACACCCAGCUAAUUUGUUUUGUUUUGUUUUGUUUUGGUAGAGAUAGGAUCUUGCUAUGGUACCCAGGCUGGUCUUCAACUCCUGGGCUCAAGCAAUCCUCCUGCAUUGGCCUCCCAAAGUGCUGGAAUUACAGGCAUGAGGCAGCACGCCCAGCCCUAAUUACUUCUAUUACGCCAAAUUCCUUGUGUGGAAUUCCUGUGCUUUGCACACAAAUUGCCAGGUUGGCCCCAAAGGGGAAAAAAGUGGAUCCCAUUUUCCCAUCUUCUAUGCCUACGUGGCUGACAAAUCUCCCGAAUCCCACAGGAGCUGUCGCUGAUCUUUGUCCUCUAUUCGCUGAAAUAAAGUUCACCAUGGAUUUCUGCUUCUUUUAUUCAUUGUCAGUCCACACAUAGGGACAAAUUCCUGUGCUCUCAUUAGAAAGCCAUUUGCUAAGUGAGAACUCCGGGGAGGCCAGGCCUGAAGGAGAGCUUGCUGUCAGUCAUUUCGAUCAGGGACGGGGCAGAGUCCAUUGUCACAGGUGGAGCUGCCCAGCCAUUCCCCGCCCCUAGGAAGUCUGGGCUGACUGGGGGAGGGAGUGCUUA
rnacentral:lncRNA from 10 species